UGAGGUCAUGGAUUAAUGAAUUAUCUUUCUAUUUCAGUCUUGUGUGUAGAAAUUUGGCCUGACCAAUAGGCCUGGACCUGAAUCCCACAUCUGCAGCUUCCUAACUGUCCUUGAUCAAGUGCAUUUCAAAGCAAUUGCAUCACUGAGA
rnacentral:lncRNA from 1 species